UGAGGCGGCCAUAGCGGCGGGGCAAACUCCCGUACCCAUCCCGAACACGGCAGAUAAGCCCGCCAGCGUUCCAGCGAGUACUGGAGUGCGCGAGCCUCUGGGAAAACUGCCUCGC
rnacentral:rRNA from 2 species